rnacentral:misc_RNA from 1 species
AACGCACAUUGCGCCCGCUAGUAUUCUGGCGGGCAUGCCUGUCUGAGCGUCAUUUCAACCCUCGCGCCCGGCUUUGCUGCCGGAUGCGGUGUUGGGGAUCGGCCUGCAGCCGCCUAGCGGUUCGGGCCGGCCCUGAAAUACAGUGGCGAUCGCGUCGUAACCUCCUCUGCGUAGUAACUCCUUACAGGGCCUCGCAGGCGGAGAGCGGUGCGGUCACGCCGUAAAACCCCCAAACUUUUUACAAGGUUGACCUCAGAUCAGGUAGGAAUACCCGCUGAACUUAA